rnacentral:rRNA from 1 species
GGCGAACGCUGGCGGCGUGCCUAACACAUGCAAGUCGAGCGAGGAGAGUUCCUUCGGGAACAAACCUAGCGGCGGACGGGUGAGUAACACGUGGGCAACCUACCUUGUAGAGGGAAUAGCCUUCCGAAAGGAAGAUUAAUACCGCAUAACAUUACAGUUUCGCAUGAAACAGUAAUUAAAGGAGCAAUCCGCUACAAGAUGGGCCCGCGGCGCAUUAGCUAGUUGGUGAGGUAACGGCUCACCAAGGCGACGAUGCGUAGCCGACCUGAGAGGGUGAUCGGCCACAUUGGGACUGAGACACGGCCCAGACUCCUACGGGAGGCAGCAGUGGGGAAUAUUGCACAAUGGGGGAAACCCUGAUGCAGCAACGCCGCGUGAGUGAUGAAGGUUUUCGGAUCGUAAAGCUCUGUCUUCGGGGACGAUAAUGACGGUACCCGAGGAGGAAGCCACGGCUAACUACGU